rnacentral:rRNA from 1 species
CCUACGGGAGGCAGCAGUGGGGAAUAUUGGACAAUGGGGGCAACCCUGAUCCAGCCAUGCCGCGUGUGUGAAGAAGGCCCUCGGGUUGUAAAGCACUUUCAGUGAGGAAGAACGCCUGGUGGUUAAUACCCAUCAGGAAAGACAUCACUCACAGAAGAAGCACCGGCUAACUCCGUGCCAGCAGCCGCGGUAAUACGGAGGGUGCGAGCGUUAAUCGGAAUUACUGGGCGUAAAGCGCGCGUAGGUGGCUUGAUAAGCCGGUUGUGAAAGCCCCGGGCUCAACCUGGGAACGGCAUCCGGAACUGUCAAGCUAGAGUGCAGGAGAGGAAGGUGGAAUUCCCGGUGUAGCGGUGAAAUGCGUAGAGAUCGGGAGGAAUACCAGUGGCGAAGGCGGCCUUCUGGACUGACACUGACACUGAGGUGCGAAAGCGUGGGUAGCAAACAGGAUUAGAUACCCUUGUAGUC